rnacentral:rRNA from 1 species
AAAAGAAACCAACAGGGAUUGCCCCAGUAGCGGCGAGUGAAGCGGCAAGAGCUCAGAUUUGAAAUCGUGUUUCGGCACGAGUUGUAGAGUGUAGGCGGGAGUCUCUGUGGAGCGCGGUGUCCAAGUCCCUUGGAACAGGGUGCCUGAGAGGGUGAGAGCCCCGUAGGGUGCUGCGCGAAGCUUUUGAGGCCCUGCUGACGAGUCGAGUUGUUUGGGAAUGCAGCUCCAAGCGGGUGGUAAAUUCCAUCUAAGGCUAAAUAUUGGCGAGAGACCGAUAGCGAACAAGUACUGUGAAGGAAAGAUGAAAAGCACUUUGAAAAGAGAGUGAAACAGCACGUGAAAUUGUUGAAAGGGAAGGGUAUUGGGCUCGACAUGGGGGGUGCGCACCGCUGUCUCUUGUAGGCGGCGCUCUGGGCGCCCUCUGGGCCAGCAUCGGUUCCUGCUGCGGGAGAAGGGGCUCCGGAAAGUGGCUCUUCGGAGUGUUAUAGCCGGGGCCAGAUGCCGCG